rnacentral:miRNA from 1 species
UGUCCUUCCUGUCUGACCACA